rnacentral:rRNA from 1 species
UAGAAAUACGUGGCAAACGGCUCAGUAACACGUAGUCAACAUGCCCAGGGGACGUGGAUAACCUCGGGAAACUGAGGAUAAACCACGAUAGGCCAUGAUUUCUGGAAUGGUUCAUGGCCGAAAUCUAUAUGGCCCCUGGAUUGGACUGCGGCCGAUCAGGCUGUUGGUGAGGUAAUGGCCCACCAAACCUGUAACCGGUACGGGCACUGAGAGGAGGAGCCCGGAGAUGGGCACUGAGACAAGGGCCCAGGCCCUAUGGGGCGCAGCAGGCGCGAAAUCUCUGCAAUAGGCGAAAGCUUGACAGGGUUACUCUGAGUGAUUCCCGCUAAGGGCAUCUUUUGGCACCUUUAAAAAUGGUGCAGAAUAAGGGGUGGGCAAGUCUGGUGUCAGCCGCCGCGGUAAUACCAGCACCCCGAGUGGUCGGGACGAUUAUUGGGCCUAAAGCAUCCGUAGCCGGUACUGCAAGUCUUCCGUUAAAUCCACCUGCUUAACAGUUGGGCUGCGGGGGAUACUACAGCGCUAGGAGGCGGGAGAGGCAAGCGGUACUCAAUGGGCAGGGGUAAAAUCCGCUGAUCCAUUGAAGACCACCAGUGGCGAAGGCGGCUUGCCAGAACGCGCUCGACGGUGAGGGAUGAAAGCUGGGGGAGCAAACCGGAUUAGAUACCCGGGUAGUCCCAGCUGUAAACGAUGCAGACUCGGUGAUGGGCUGGCCUUGUGCCAGCCCAGUGCCGCAGGGAAGCCGUUAAGUCUGCCGCCUGGGGGAGUACGGUCGCAAGACUGAAACUUAAAGGAAUUGGCGGGGGAGCACCACAAGGGGUGAAGCCUGCGGUUCAAUUGGAUUCAACGCCGGG